rnacentral:rRNA from 1 species
GAUGAACGCUGGCGGCGCGCCUAAUACAUGCAAGUCGAGCGAACGGACGAGAAGCUUUCUUCUCUGAUGUUAGCGGCGGACGGGUGAGUAACACGUGGAUAACCUACCUAUAAGACUGGGAUAACUUCGUGAAACCGGAGCUAAUACCGGAUAAUAUUUUGAACCGCAUGGUUCAAAAGUGAGAGACGGUCUUGCUGUCACUUAUAGAUGGAUCCGCGCUGCAUUAGCUAGUUGGUAAGGUAACGGCUUACCAAGGCAACGAUGCAUAGCCGACCUGAGAGGGUGAUCGGCCACACUGGAACUGAGACACGGUCCAGACUCCUACGGGAGGCAGCAGUAGGGAAUCUUCCGCAAUGGGCGAAAGCCUGACGGAGCAACGCCGCGUGAGUGAUGAAGGUCUUCGGAUCGUAAAACUCUGUUAUUAGGGAAGAACAUAUGUGUAAGUAACUGUGCACAUCUUGACGGUACCUAAUCAGAAAGCCACGGCUAACUACGUG